rnacentral:rRNA from 1 species
UACGGGGGGAGCAAGCGUUGUUCGGAUUUACUGGGCGUAAAGGGCGCGUAGGCGGCCAGCACAAGUCAGUUGUGAAAUCUCCGAGCUUAACUCGGAACGGUCAACUGAUACUGUGCGGCUAGAGUGCGGAAGGGGCAACUGGAAUUCUUGGUGUAGCGGUGAAAUGCGUAGAUAUCAAGAGGGACACCUGCGGCGAAGGCGGGUUGCUGAGCCGACACUGACGCUGAGGCGCGAAAGCCAGGGGAGCGAACGGG